GAUGAACGCUGGCGGCGUGCCUAAUACAUGCAAGUCGAGCGAACGGACGAGAAGCUUGCUUCUCUGAUGUUAGCGGCGGACGGGUGAGUAACACGUGUAUAACCUACCUAUAAGACUGGUAUAACUUCGGGAAACCGGCGCUAAUACCGGAUAAUAUUUUGAACCACAUGGUUCAAAAGUGAAAGACGGUCUUGCUGUCACUUAUAGAUGGAUCCGCGCUGCAUUAGCUAGUUGGUAAGGUAACGGCUUACCAAGGCAACGAUGCAUAGCCGACGGGAGAGGGUGAUCGGCCACACUGGAACUGAGACACGGACAAGACUCCUACGAGAGGGAGCAGUAGGGAAUGUUCCGCAAUGGGCGAGAGCCUGACGGAGCAACGCCGCGUGAGUGAUGAAGGUCUUCGGAUCGUAAAACUCUGUUAUUAGGGAAGAACAUAUGUGUAAGUAAAUGUGCACAUCUUGACGGUACCUAAUCAGAAAGCCACGGCUAACUACGUG
rnacentral:rRNA from 1 species